CGGAGGGGGAGAAGCUGUGAGUGCAGUGGAUUUGGAAUCGCCAAAUAAGGUAGGCAUUUGCUCCCUUCCAUUGAAGGAAAAAUAUAGGAUGGAACGCCAUGAUGCUCUAAUGGUACAGUAGAAUCAUACAAACGGAGAGAAAUUCGAAACGGCAAUUCCUGUUUUGCAGUUCUGAUAUGUAGGCUAAGAAUUAUGCAAUUUACAUGGUUUGAGAAUAAGUUGAAGCGAUCAUGGCAAGGUGAUCGAUUUUGAUAGUGUUGAUAAGUACAGUCUAUGCUUAUGCUGUACACCACUAAUUUGUGGAAUGGAUACAUUGCUUCAUUUAUUUGUUCUCUUACAUCAUGAUGAAAUUGCUGGAAUAUAAUGUCAGGGAGUGAAAAAUCUAUAGGAAAUGGUCACCUAGGCCGUGGGCUUCUCGAGCAGCGCUGAGAG
rnacentral:lncRNA from 1 species